rnacentral:rRNA from 1 species
CCUACGGGGUGCAGCAGUGAGGAAUAUUGGUCAAUGGGCGGGAGCCUGAACCAGCCAAGUCGCGUGAGGGAAGACGGUCCUAUGGAUUGUAAACCUCUUUAGGCGGGGAGCAAUGCCGGGCACGCGUGCCCGGAGGGAGAGUACCCGCAGAAUAAGCCUCGGCUAACUCCGUGCCAGCAGCCGCGGUAAUACGUAGGGGGCGAGCGUUAUCCGGAUUCAUUGGGCGUAAAGGGCGCGUAGGCGGCCUCCUACGCGGAACGUCUAACCCCGGGGCUCAACCUCGGGCCGGGUUCCGGACUGGGCGGCUCGAGUGCGGUAGAGGAGAGCGGAAUGCCCGGUGUAGCGGUGGAAUGCGCAGAUAUCGGGAAGAACACCGAUGGCGAAGGCAGCUCUCUGGGCCGUCACUGACGCUGAGGCGCGAAAGCUGGGGGAGCGAACAGGAUUAGAUACCCCAGUAGUC